rnacentral:rRNA from 1 species
UAAGGAAUAUUGGUCAAUGGACGCAAGUCUGAACCAGCCAUGCCGCGUGGAGGAUGAAGGUCCUCUGGAUUGUAAACUUCUUUUAUCUGGGAAGAAACCCAAGGUUUCUACUGUGGUUGACGGUACCAGAUGAAUAAGCACCGGCUAACUCCGUGCCAGCAGCCGCGGUAAUACGGAGGGUGCAAGCGUUAUCCGGAUUCACUGGGUUUAAAGGGUGCGUAGGUGGGCAGGUAAGUCAGUGGUGAAAUCUCCGGGCUUAACCCGGAAACUGCCGUUGAUACUAUCUGUCUUGAAUAUCGUGGAGAUGAGCGGAAUAUGUCAUGUAGCGGUGAAAUGCUUAGAUAUGACAUAGAACACCGAUUGCGAAGGCAGCUCGUUACACGGUUAUUGACACUGAGGCACGAAAGCGUGGGGAUCAAACAGGAUUAGAUACCCCUGUAGUCC